rnacentral:ribozyme from 1 species
GGGGUGCGCAAUAGACUUACCUCCACGUGGUGCAUCCUAGGCAACGUAUACUUAUACGGUAAAAAGGUCUAU